rnacentral:rRNA from 1 species
GUGUCAGCAGCCGCGGUAAUACGUAGGGGGCGAGCGUUGUCCGGAAUUACUGGGCGUAAAGGGCGUGUAGGCGGUUGGGUAAGUCUUGUGUGAAAUGCUCUGGCUCAACCAGAGCGCUGCGCAGGAUACUGCCUGACUGGAAUUCGGAAGGGGUGACUGGAAUUCCCGGUGUAACGGUGAAAUGUGUAGAUAUCGGGAGGAACACCUGUGGCGAAGGCGGGUCACUGGUCCGACAUUGACGCUGAGACGCGAAAGCGUGGGGAGCAAACAGGAUUAGAAACCCCCGUAGUCC